UCAACGCUCGACGUCGUUUUAAGUCUCCCACUUUCCCUGCAAGUCUCGGCGAUGCCGAUGUUGCUCUUCUUCGCACGUCUGUGCUGACACAGUUGUAACUCCACUCGAACCGACGGAGAAAAUCUGAACUCGAGAGGGUUUGAUUUCGUACUCUCCAUCUUGGUUUCUGUUUUCUUAUUCUAAUUUUUUGGUUUUUGCAAGUUCUUAAUUCGAGACCGAACUAGGAGUAAGUUGAAGUGAUGUCUGCCCGAUCUUGGACCGCUUGUGUUGUUGUUUUUGUCGGGUGAUCCAUGUUCGUGUUAUAGUGUCCUUCUAUCUGAAAUUAGCAAAUCUCUAAACUUCUGCUUGGUUGUCAUCAGCCCUUGGUCUAAUCAAGUUGUUUCUGUUCAAUCCCAUCUGCUUGACAGGUGUUGAGUCGAUCAUGGUGUCUCCUUGACCGUGAUCUUUUCUUUAACUCAUAUAUGUCUAAGAGUUUAUCAAGAAACCAGCUCCUCCUUUUUUAGAUAGCCUCUAUGUUUAUGACUUCCUUCACAUGAAUAAACCUGGAAGAAAAUGGAUCAAGCGUAAGUGUUUUUAGUUUUGGAUGAGAUGGAUGUUGAAGGCGUCGCUAUAGAUCUUCUAUCAAGAAAUGGUGCCAAUGUUGAUGAGCCUUGUGAGGCGAGUACGAGUGGAAACGCUACUAGCAGCACCUUAGAGCAUUGCGCAACCCUUUGCGAGCCCAUAAACGGCAUGGAGUUUGAGUCCAAGGAGGCUGCUUACUAUUUCUACAGAGAAUACGCUCGAUCAGUCGGAUUUGGCAUCACGAUAAAAGCCAGCCGGCGCUCAAAGAGAUCAGGAAAGUUCAUCGAUGUCAAAAUAGCGUGUUCGAGAUUCGGAACCAAGCGCGAGUCCACCGCGGCUAUAGUAAACCCGCGGUCAUGUCCGAAGACGGGUUGCAAAGCUGGUCUGCAUAUGAAGAGGAAAGAAGACGAGAAAUGGGUUAUAGUUAGUUUCGUGAAAGAACAUAACCAUGAGAUCUGUCCUGAUGAUUUUUACGCCAGCGUAAGGGGAAAGAACAAGCCUGCUGCUGGUGCGUCAGCACAUCAAAAGAAAGGUCUUCAGUUAGCUCUAGAAGAAAACGACUUCAAGUUGAUGCUGGAUCAUUUCGCGGAGAUGCAAUCUAAGCAGCCUGGUUUCUUCUACGCGGUGGAUUUCGACUCUGGGAAACGUAUUAGAAACGUGUUCUGGCUCGACGUGAAGGCUAAGCAAGACUAUUUCAGUUUCUCUGACGUUGUUCUCUUCGACACGUUUUACCUUAGGAGCGGGUACAGAGUCCCGUUUGCUCCUUUCGUCGGGGUUAACCAUCACCGUCGAUAUGCGCUGCUUGGAUGUGCGUUGAUAGGAGAAGAGAGCGAGUCAGCUUACUCGUGGCUGUUUCGGACGUGGCGUAAAGCAGUGGGAGGAGGUCAAGCUCCUGGAGUGGUGAUAACGGAUCAGGAUAAGGUUCUAAGCGACGUCGUUGCCGAAGUGUUUCCAACUGCUCGUCACUGUUUCUCUUUGUGGAGUGUGGUGAGUAAAGUCCCUGAGAUGGUGAAUCCUUUAGAUGAUGGUUUCACGGAGUGUUUUAGAGACUGCGUGGACGGAGCUUGGACAGAUGAGCAGUUCGAAAGGAGCUGGUCAGAGAUGGUUGGUAAGUUUGAGCUUAACGAGAACGAGUGGCUCCACUCGCUGUUUAGAGAUCGGAAGAAGUGGGUGCCACGUUAUUUCCACGGUCUUUCUUUCGCUGGAUUGUCUGGAGUUGAAAGAUCUGGAAGCAUCGUCUCUCAUUUCGACAAGUAUAUGAACUCAGAGGCUACUACAUUCAGUGGCUUCUUUGAACUCUACAUGAAGUUUCUGCAGUAUCGUUACGAUGUGGAAGCAAAGGAUGAUCUUGAUUCUCAGAGCAAAGAGCCUACGCUGAGAUCUUCUUUAGCUUUCGAGAAACAGCUUUCGUUGAUCUACACAGACGCUGCUUUUAAGAAGUUCCAAACCGAGGUGCUGGGAGUUGUCUCUUGUCAACUCCAGAAAGAAAGAGAAGAUGAGACUACAGCUAUAUUCCGCGUUGAGGAUUUUGAAAAACGCCGAAACUUUUUCGUUUCUGUGAAGAAAGAGGUGUUGGAUGUGUGCUGCUCUUGUUAUUUAUUCGAGUACCAGGGGUUCCUCUGCAAGCAUGCGAUGCUCGUACUUCAAAACUCCGACGUUUCCUGCGUUCCAUCUCAGUAUAUAUUGAAGCGCUGGUCAAAGAAGGGUAACAACAGAGAAGAAAAACACGAAGAAGGUGCCGCUGUAGAUAACCGUAUGUCACGUUUUGAUGAUCUUUGUAAGCGCUUUGUCAAGCUUGGAGAAGUUGCGUCUUUAUCAGAUGAAGCCUACAAGACUGCUUUGCAGUUUUUGGAAAAAAACUUGAAGAGAUGCGUUAGGCUGAAUAAUUCUUCCAAGUUUCCCUCAGAGCCAGGCUUAGAAAAUGAAGGUACGUUGGACUGUGCAUCGAAACUGUCCAGGAAAAAGAAAACUCAGAAGAAAAGAAAGGCAUAUAAUGGACCAGAGGAUGUGACAAACGGGUCAGAAGAACUCCGCCAAGAACCUGAACAAGUUAGCUCCAGAGCUCCCACCUUUGAGAACUGUUACAUUCCUCAAGCAGCAGAUAUGGAAGCAACGGAACUAGGCUCCCGUGCAGCACCUCUUGGGAUGUAUUAUUCGACUCAACAGACUAUUGGAUUCUCAUCGGUUUCUUCCGUCCAGGAUGGUUACUACUACGGACAUCCGGCAACCAUACAAGCAAUGGGAAACUUGCAUUCAUUUCAUGGACGGAUGAAUCAGUAUGAGACACAACCAAGCAUCCAAGGAGCUUUUCAGGGACAGAGCGCUAUCCGUGGCUGCUAUGACAUGGAAGAAACUCUGCAGGACAUGACAAUGGAGUCUUCACAGUUUCAUGGCUCUGGUCCGAGCCAUCCGGGUGAUCACCGUUUGUCCCACUAACAGAACAAGCUCAAGAGUUGCUUUUACAUAACUUAAAAACAAAUUCGUAUGCUUUUUGUACAGAUAAAGAGUACAUUCAUAUUCUAGAAAUGGCUUUGAGGCAAUAGCAGAGACGGUGGAGGAUUGACUUAUGGUGGUGGUGCAUACUAGUGAUUACAGAAGUGGAUCUGGUGAGAUGGUUGAGGAGGAGGAGGAGCUUAUGGCGGUAGAAGUGGAUCUGGUGAGAUGGUUGAGGAGGAGGAGGAGCUUAUGGCGGAGGUGGAGGAGUUAAUGGCUGAAGUGGAGCUUGUGGAGGUGGAUAUGAAAGUUGUGGUGAUGAAAGAAGUGGUCGGCGGUCAUUGACGCAUGGAGGGUCUUGUGGUGGUGGUUGGAUGCGUAUUAUUGUGGUUGGAGGCGGAUAACCAUGUCCACAACCACACCAUCAGUGGAUGUUAUGAAAGUAGUGAUGGUGAAGGAAGUAGUUAUGGCAGUGCAAAGAGAGAUACAGCAAUAGAGGUGGUUAUAAAUCGUCUAUAAUUUGAAAUCGGUUUCAUGACUACAUCUAGUCUGACCAACCACGUGAAUGAAAAUUAAAUGAAAGUCAUUUUAUGUCA